AGGGACGCCCCCACAGGUAGACGAAGAGGGUCCAGAGAAAGGUGGGGAUUCCCUAACCCCUUCUUUCUUGGCACAGACAGGCAGAGAACACCUCUUUUCUCACCCCUGGGCAGCCCCAGGAAGUCAAUCCUUCCACUAUUCCUGCUCCGUGCCUCUCUUCCCUCUGCCCAGAUUCCUGGGAGACUCAAAACCCUGUUCAACUCUCUCUGGGCUAGCUGCUCCCCUCCCCAAGAGGAUUUCUCUCCAGAGCUGGUAUCAUCGCUUAAUGAUGUUCCACCAACAAGGGGAAGAUUCAGCCAUGUCUUCCUAGGAUCCAGCAUCCAAACCUGGACCAAAGUCCUCGGAUCCUCAGCAAUGGGGGUGCAUCUGGUGAUGGUGUUCAUGCUAAAUUUGUGCCAAGAGACACCUGUACUUGUGGGAGAAUUAAUAUUUCACUUCUGUUUAGGUUUCUUUUCUGGGAGCUGCUAUCACUGAAUACAUAAAGAAAUUGAGCCUAUAUGAUUUCAAUCUUCACCUUCUGAUGCUGAUGAAACAGGAUUCUAUGCAGAGAAAAUCCUCUCCAGUCAAGUAAUUGCAUCCAUUUCAUCUUCCCAGCCCUCCUCUAGAUGGGAGGUGGAGGUGUGUGUACCAAUCUCUUAAUUCAGAAAUGAGACAAGAGGAGGAAAAAGGAGUUCCGGAGGACAGUGGGGACCCCAGCCAGAGCCUGGGGACUUGGCUGCCUUGGAACCAGAACCUGGCCCCUCAGAGGAGUUGCAGAAUUUCGAUAGAGGAGUGGCAGGAGGUGUACUGGCUGAAGAGGAGGCCCAAGGAACUCCUUUUCAUACAUCAAAACUGAGCUUAUCACCUCUACCCUGAAGUCAUCCUGGACAUCACUGGUCCCAGUUAAUCACUCACUUAUCUUUGCCAUCCUUGACCUGGGAAGAGAACGUUGCCCUCAUUGGUCUGGAAUCAGCAGGUACCUCAUGGCUGGAGGUGUAUUUUCAGGUGGGUUGGGACUUUGAAGAGGUGGCUUUUCCUAUGGACCCCUCUGACUCCCCACCUGUGGGCAUGACACAGGUGACCUGGCUGCCAGGGCAGAGGCUGCUUAGCCCUGCUCCAGAGAAACAGAGCUCUGAGGGCUUCCAGAAACCAGGGCUCCUGGCUCCUCAGUCCUUCCCACUCCUCUCUUCCUACUCCCGUGCUGCAUAUAAACUUUUCUUUUUUUUUCAGAUGGAGUCUCACUCUGUCACUCAGGCUGGAGUGCAGUGGUGCGAUCUCAGCUUACUGCAACCUCCGCCUCCCGGGUUCAAGUGAUUCUCCUGCCUCAGCUUCCCCAGUAGCAGGGACUACAGGACCACAGACUCCUUUGGCAUCUGGUGAGGCCUGUGGAUUCAUUCUCAGAAUCACAUUUUUAAAUGCACAUAAUAAAAUACAUAGAAUUGCAAAGGAAGUUAAUUAUAUUGAAAUACAGUUAUCAAAAAUAUAAAUAAAACAAGUAUGUGGUACAGUCAUAUGUGUGCUUCUUUAUUAAGUCAUUACAAAGCAAGAUCUAUUUGGAGGUCUAAUAACUGUCAUAUGCUUGAAAAAAUCCUUAACAAUCAUAAUAUAUUAAAAAAUCUGAUUUCUACUUUGGCAAAUCAUAGAUAUUGCUGAAACUGUGGUUUAUUGCCUGCAUUCAUAAUUGAAGGAAAUGCUAGAGUUCAGUGAGAAGGUUGUGAAAAUAAAGAGAGCCUUUUUUUCUCAUCAAG
rnacentral:lncRNA from 10 species